rnacentral:rRNA from 1 species
GAUGAACGCUGGCGGCGUGCCUAAUACAUGCAAGUCGAGCGAACAGAUGAGGAGCUUGCUCCUCUGACGUUAGCGGCGGACGGGUGAGUAACACGUGGAUAACCUACCUAUAAGACUGGGAUAACUUCGGGAAACCGGAGCUAAUACCGGAUAAUAUAUUGAACCGCAGGGUUCAAUAGUGAAAGACGGUUUUGCUGUCACUUAUAGAUGGAUCCGCGCCGCAUUAGCUAGUUGGUAAGGUAACGGCUUACCAAGGCAACGAUGCGUAGCCGACCUGAGAGGGUGAUCGGCCACACUAGAACUGAGACACGGUCCAGACUCCUACGGGAGGCAGCAGUAGGGAAUCUUCCGCAAUGGGCGAAAGCCUGACGGAGCAACGCCGCGUGAGUGAUGAAGGUCUUCGGAUCGUAAAACUCUGUUAUUAGGGAAGAACAAAUGUGUAAGUAACUAUGCACGUCUUGACGGUACCUAAUCAGAAAGCCACGGCUAACUACGUG